UUGUAUUGAUUUUUAUUUUUAUUUACAGAACCUGGAUUUUUUUUUUCUUAAACCAAGGAUUCUUCGGAAGCCAAGUUGCCAUAAAUUUAAAUUGAUCUAUCUAAUUUUGUUUCAAAAUAUUCAAAUUUUAAUUCAUUUCAUUUUAUAUUUUUUUUCAGAACUUGGAUUUUAUUUUUUUGAUUCAAACUUAAGAAAGUGUCUUUCAAGAUCUAGAACUUGGAUUUUUAAUUUCCUAUCAACAAUCCAUCUAAGGAAUUUACAGACCCUUGUGGUAGAUUCUUCAGGUUGGGUGUGGUCAGGUCAGGUUGAUCUGUGUGCAAACACUUCAUCAUCGUAAAAAACUAUUUUUCAGGAAUUCAUCAAUUAUAUCGAGAAGAGUAAUGGAAACAAGAUUGGAGUUAUCUAUAUUUAAGUAUUUCUUUUUUUAUUUAUAAUGUAUUUACUAGGAAGAGCGCAAUAGGUUUUGUGUUUUGGCUUCCAAUAAGAAUUUAAUUAUUUAAAAUUUUAUAAUCUUAAUUUUGUCUAGAGUUGGAUAUUUUUGUUUUUUAUAACUAACAGUGGUUUUUCUAUAUUUUUUUUGGUUAUAUAAUUAUGUAGUAUAGAAAAUUAUUUAUGUGUUGACUUUUAAUGAGGAAUUCUCUUUUUACUAUUUGAUGUAGGAUUAUUUAAUGUUCUUUGGCUGAUCUUUUUUAUGAUUUUUGCUAGGUAUAAGUUUGAUGAAUUGUGGCGUUCGGUGUUGGAUAUAUUUUUUGUCUGUGUUUACGAGUCUUAAAUCUUGAAUUAUUUUUUUUCUUGCUUGUAGGUAGGGUUGAACAGCUGGUCAUUUGUUUGGCUUAUAAUUAAAGAUCUUUUUACGGUUUGAUGUCUUGUUGUUUUGUUGUUCUUUUGGUUUAUGUUUUAAGAUUUUUGAUAGGUAUUUGUUUGUUGUACUUUUGGCUUUUUGGAGAUAUAUAUAUUUUAUGUGAUUUAUUUUUUUUUGGUAUUUGGUCCAUUUUCUAUGCUUUUUUGUAGGUUGUGUCGAAUAAUAUUUAAGUUUUGGUUUUUAUUUCGGUAUUAUCAUUUUACGGUUUGAUGUCUUGUUGAUUUAUUGUUCAUUUGGUAUUUGUUUUAAGAUUUUUGAAAGCUAGUUGUUUGAUGCAAAUUUGUCGUUUUGGUGUUGUAUAUAUUUUAUGUGUAUUUAAAUGUUUGGUAAUUAUUACAUCUUAUUGGUUGUUUGUAGGUAGGGUUGAACAGCUGGUCAUUUGUUUAGGCUUUUAAUUAGAGAUCUUCUUUUUACAGUUUGAUAUCUUGUUGGUUUGUUGUAUGUUUGGUAGUUGUAUU